UACGUAGGGUGCGAGCGUUAGUCGGAAUUACUGGGCGUAAAGUGUGCGCAGGCGGCUUCGCAAGUCGAGUGUGAAAUCCCCGAGCUUAACUUGGGAAUUGCGCUCGAAACUACGGAGCUGGAGUGUGGCAGAGGAAGGUGGAAUUCCACGUGUAGCGGUGAAAUGCGUAGAGAUGUGGAGGAACACCGAUGGCGAAGGCAGCCUUCUGGGCCAACACUGACGCUCAUGCACGAAAGCGUGGGGAGCAAACAGG
rnacentral:rRNA from 1 species